rnacentral:rRNA from 1 species
CAGCAGUAGCCGCGGGAAUACGGAGGAUCCAAGCGUUAUCCGGAAUCAUUGGGUUUAAAGGGUCCGUAGGCGGUCUUGUAAGUCAGUGGUGAAAGCCCAUCGCUCAACGGUGGAACGGCCAUUGAUACUGCAGGACUUGAAUUAUUGGGAAGUAACUAGAAUAUGUAGUGUAGCGGUGAAAUGCUUAGAGAUUACAUGGAAUACCAAUUGCGAAGGCAGGUUACUACCAAUUGAUUGACGCUGAUGGACGAAAGCGUGGGUAGCGAACAGGAUUAGAUACCCCAGUAGUCCCUGUCUCUUAUAC